GUCGUGCCUUCAGGUUGUGUUUGUCUAAGUGACACUUGACAAAGAGUCUUACUUCUUUGUUCCUUGUGACUCUGGACACACCAGCGGAAUGAACGUGCUAACGGCCGUGGGCACAAUCAUGGUGUCUCUCUCCCUCUAUCACGUGACUUUUGGUUCCGUGAUACAGGAAGUACUCGUGAAAGUAGAGAUAAGCGUGUCACACGAGGGCCGCAUCGCAGCUAAUCAUGGCCAAGAAAGACCAC